UUGAGCUGUAUGCGGCUAACGUCGCACGUACAGUUCUCAGGGGAGGAUGCGACGGUAACGUCGUAUCCUUACCCGAC
rnacentral:ncRNA from 1 species